AACGAACGCUGGCGGCAUGCCUAACACAUGCAAGUCGAACGAGACCUUCGGGUCUAGUGGCGCACGGGUGCGUAACGCGUGGGAACCUGCCCUUAGGUUCGGAAUAACUCCCCGCAAGGGGUGCUAAUACCGGAUAAUGUCUUCGGACCAAAGAUUUAUCGCCUUUGGAUGGGCCCGCGUUGGAUUAGCUAGUUGGUAGGGUAAAAGCCUACCAAGGCGACGCUCCAUAGCUGGUCUGAGAGGAUGAUCAGCCACACUGGGACUGAGACACGGCCCAGACUCCUACGGGAGGCAGCAGUGGGGAAUAUUGGACAAUGGGCGAAAGCCUGAUCCAGCAAUGCCGCGUGAGUGAUGAAGGCCUUAGGGUUGUAAAGCUCUUUUACCCGGGAUGAUAAUGACAGUACCGGGAGAAUAAGCUCCGGCUAACUCCGUG
rnacentral:rRNA from 1 species